UGUAAGAACAGAAGCCACAGCCCCCAGAACCAACAAAACUAAAGUUAUUGACAAUUACUUUAAGGCCCAGUGCCAAAGCUUUGGGUCGAAAGGUUUCCAACUGCCAUAGGAAAGCAAAGAUAAGGAGAAAUCCUCUGUAGGAAGCUAGGGAAAGGAGCAGAGAGAAAGAAGCUAAGGGGAGGACGCUCUGCCUGGCUGCAAGUGAGAAACAAACCCAAGGUGCAUA
rnacentral:lncRNA from 1 species